GAGGUCUUGGCUUAAGAUUAAAGUGUCUGAGUUGCAGUCAGAAGAUGUGUUAUGGAACACAGGCCUUC
rnacentral:tRNA from 1 species